AGGGGGCAAGCGUUAUCCGGAUUUACUGGGUGUAAAGGGAGCGUAGACGGAAUUGCAAGUCUGAUGUGAAAAUCCGGGGCCCAACCCCGGAAGUGCAUUGGAAACUGUAUUUCUAGAGUGUCGGAGAGGCAAGUGGAAUUCCUGGUGUAGCGGUGAAAUGCGUAGAUAUCAGGAGGAACACCAGUGGCGAAGGCGGCUUGCUGGACGAUGACUGACGUUGAGGCUCGAAAGCGUGGGGAGCAAACAGGAUUAGAUACCCUGGUAGUCCACGCCGUAAACGAUGACUACUAGGUGUCGGGAGGCAAAGCCUUUCGGUGCCGCAGCCAACGCAAUAAGUAGUCCACCUGGGGAGUACGUUCGCAAGAAUG
rnacentral:rRNA from 2 species